rnacentral:rRNA from 1 species
CCUACGGGUGGCAGCAGUGGGGAAUAUUGGGCAAUGGGCGCAAGCCUGACGCAGCAACGCCGCGUGAAGGAAGAAGGCUUUCGGGUUGUAAACUUCUUUUCUCAGGGACGAAGCUAGUGACGGUACCUGAGGAAUAAGCCAAGGCUAACUACGUGCUAGCAGCCGCGGUAAUACGUAGGUGGCAAGCGUUUUCCGGAAUUACUGGGUGUAAAGGGCGUGUAGGCGGGGGCGCAAGUCAGAUGUGAAAUACAUGGGCUCAACCUGUGGACUGCAUUUGAAACUGUGUUACUUGAGUAUUGGAGAGGCAAACGGAAUUCCUAGUGUAGCGGUGAAAUGCGUAGAUAUUAGGAGGAACACCAGUGGCGAAGGCGGGCUGCUGGACAGCAACUGACGCUGAGGCGCGAAAGCGUGGGGAGCAAACAGGAUUAGAUACCCCGGUAGUC